rnacentral:Y_RNA from 1 species
GGUUGGUUCCAGUGCAGUGGUGUUUACAACUAAUUGAUCACAACCAGUUACAGAUUCCUUUGUUCCUUCUCCACUCCCACUGCUUCACUUGACCAGCCUUAA